GACGAACCGAGCGAACGUUGUUCGGAAUCACUGGGCUUAAAGGGCGCGUAGGCGGGCUAUCAAGUCUGGGGUGAAAUGCCACGGCUCAACCGUGGAACUGCCUCAGAUACUGACGGCCUCGAGGGAGGUAGGGGCAUGCGGAACUGUAGGUGGAGCGGUGAAAUGCGUUGAUAUCUACAGGAACUCCGGUGGCGAAAGCGGCGUGCUGGACCUCUUCUGACGCUGAGGCGCGAAAGCUAGGGGAGCAAACGGG
rnacentral:rRNA from 1 species